rnacentral:misc_RNA from 1 species
CCGCUUCGCGUCGUGUCCUUGUAAAAAUCGCUGUUUCUGGUGGCUUCUCUUAAACAUCAUCUCGCUUUUAUUUUUGUUCUCUUUAAUUGUUUACAUUUUCUUCCUCGCUUUUCUCGUCAUCCAAACACCAAACUUUUCACAGAAUGGGAAAUUCAGCAAGCAAUAGCCGUAGGUAUCAUCACCCCCGACCAGCCCCUGCGCCGCAGGCCCCAGUCACAACUAGCCAAUACGCAUUUGCGGCCCCAUCUCAGUAUCCAAAUCCUAAUAUUCCUUACCAUUAUCAUCAGUAUCCUCCUGGAUAUUACCCGCCUCCGCAUGUGCCGUUUGGUCCGGUUCCUCAUAAUUUCCAUCGUUAUCCUUGUGGUGUUGCUCCGCCGAUGGUUUCGCCUCCCGUUGAGUAUCAAAAGGCGGUUACAAUUAGGAAUGAUGUGAAUAUAAGGAAAGAUAGCAUUAGGGUUGAGGAGGACGAUGAGAAUCCCGGAAAGUUUCUCGUCGCGUUCACUUUUGAUGCCACUGCCCCUGGAAGCAUUACAAUUGGGUUUUUUGCUAAAGAAGGUGCAAACUGUGACGUGAUAGCAACAAAACCUGUGAAGGUAUCGUUUGAGCAAGGUCUUGAUCAGAAGUUUAGACAACCUUCUGGAACAGGGAUUGAUUUCUCAAUGUUUGAGGAUGCAGAGUUAAAGAAGGAGGGUGCUGAAGGGGUUUAUCCUCUUAUGGUGAAGGCUGAGGUGUGCCCAUCAAAUAAUGAUGAAUUGGAAGCUAAUUCAUCUGGAAAUUCACAGAUCACGUUGGCUGUGUUUGAUAAGAAAAUGAAUGAUAAGUACAUUGUCCGGGUUAUGAAACAGAUCCUAUGGGUGAAUAGCACGAGAUAUGAGUUGCAGGAGAUUUAUGGGAUUGGGAACUCUUUGGAAGUUGAAUCUGAUGAGAAUGAUUCUGGAAAAGAAUGUGUCAUCUGCUUUUCGGAACCACGAGAUACUACUGUCCUCCCAUGCCGACAUAUGUGUAUGUGCGGUACAUGUGCCAAGGUUUUGCGAUUGCAAACAGAUCGAUGCCCCAUCUGCAGGCAACCAGUUGAACGCCUCCUGGAAAUUAAGGUGAAGGAGGGAAGUGAUGAAUGAAGAUUAUCUACUGGCAAGGGUUUCUGGUUACUUGAGAAUUUCUUUAAUUUCUCUCUUUCA